GACGAACGCUGGCGGCGUGCUUAACACAUGCAAGUCGAACGGAAAGGCCCUGCUUUUGUGGGGUGCUCGAGUGGCGAACGGGUGAGUAACACGUGAGUAACCUGCCCUUGACUUUGGGAUAACUUCAGGAAACUGGGGCUAAUACCGGAUAGGAGCUCCUGCAGCAUGGUGGGGGUUGGAAAGUUUCGGCGGUUGGGGAUGGACUCGCGGCUUAUCAGCUUGUUGGUGGGGUAGUGGCUUACCAAGGCUUUGACGGGUAGCCGGCCUGAGAGGGUGACCGGCCACAUGGGGCCUGAGAUACGGCCCAGACUCCUACGGGAGGCAGCAGUGGGGAGUAUUGCACAAUGGGCGGAAGCCUGAUGCAGCAACGCCGCGUGCGGGAUGACGGCCUUCGGGUUGUGAACCGCUGUCGCCUGUGACGAAGCGUGAGUGACGGUAAUGGGUAAAGAAGCACCGGCUAACUACGUG
rnacentral:rRNA from 1 species